UCUUCCUUAGCUCAGUCGGUUAGAGCAUCUGACUGUUAAUCAGAGGGUC
rnacentral:tRNA from 1 species